rnacentral:rRNA from 1 species
UACGUAGGGCGCAAGCGUUAUGCGGAAUUAUUGGGAGUAAAGAGCUCGUAGGCGGUUUGUUGAGUCUGCCGUGAAAGUCCGGGGCUCAACUCCGGAUCUGCGGUGGGUACGGGCAGACUAGAGUGAUGUAGGGGAGACUGGAAUUCCUGGUGUAGCGGUGAAAUGCGCAGAUAUCAGGAGGAACACCGAUGGCGAAGGCAGGUCUCUGGGCAUUAACUGACGCUGAGGAGCGAAAGCAUGGGGAGCGAACAGG